rnacentral:rRNA from 1 species
UACGGGGGGGGCAAGCGUUUGUUCGGAAUUACUGGGCGUAAAGGGCUCGUAGGCGGCCAACUAAGUCAGACGUGAAAUCCCUCGGCUUAACCUGGGAACUGCAUUUGUGACUGCAUGGCUGGAGUGCGGCAGAGGGGGAUGGAAUUCCGCGUGUAGCAGUGAAAUGCGUAGAGAUGCGGAGGAACACCGAUGGCGAAGGCAGCCCCCUGGGCUGACACUGACGCUCAGGCACGAAAGCGUGGGGAGCAAACAGG